UGGGGAAUAUUGGACAAUGGAGGGAACUCUGAUCCAGCAAUUCUGUGUGUGUGAAGAAGGUUUUAGGACUGUAAAACACUUUUAGUAGGGAAGAAAAAAAUGACGGUACCUACAGAAGAAGCAACGGCUAAAUACGUGCCAGCAGCCGCGGUAAUACGUAUGUUGCGAGCGUUAUCCGGAAUCAUUGGGCGUAAAGGGUACGUAGGCGGGUAAGCAAGUUAGAAGUGAAAUCCUGUAGCUCAACUACAGUAAGCUUUUAAAACUGCUCAUCUUGAGAUAUGGAAGGGAAAGUGGAAUUCCUAGUGUAGCGGUGAAAUGCGCAGAUAUUAGGAGGAAUACCGGUGGCGAAGGCGACUUUCUGGCCAUAAUCUGACGCUGGGGUACGAAAGCGUGGGUAGCAAACAGG
rnacentral:rRNA from 1 species